UACGUAGGUGGCAAGCGUUGUCCGGAAUUAUUGGGCGUAAAGCGCGCGCAGGCGGUCUCCUAAGUCCGAUGUGAAAGCCCACGGCUCAACCGUGGAGGGUCAUUGGAAACUGGGGGACUUGAGUGCAGGAGAGAAGAGUGGAAUUCCACGUGUAGCGGUGAAAUGCGUAGAGAUGUGGAGGAACACCAGUGGCGAAGGCGACUCUUUGGCCUGUAACUGACGCUGAGGCGCGAAAGCGUGGGGAGCAAACAGG
rnacentral:rRNA from 1 species